GCCAGAGUGUUGGAAUCGGAAGACAAGCACGGUUCAGAACUGUGUUCCCGCAAGGGAGUGGGGGUUCAAAUCCCCCCUCUGGCACCA
rnacentral:tRNA from 1 species